rnacentral:rRNA from 1 species
UGGGGAAUAUUGGACAAUGGGGGAAACCCUGAUCCAGCAAUGCCGCGUGAGUGAAGAAGGCCUUAGGGUUGUAAAGCUCUUUCGCCCGCGAAGAUAAUGACGGUAGCGGGAGAAGAAGCCCCGGCUAACUCCGUGCCAGCAGCCGCGGUAAUACGGAGGGGGCUAGCGUUGUUCGGAAUUACUGGGCGUAAAGCGUACGUAGGCGGAUGCGCAAGUUGGGGGUGAAAUCCCGGGGCUUAACCUCGGAAUUGCCCUCAAAACUGCACGUCUUGAGACCGAGAGAGGUCAGGGGAAUUCCUAGUGUAGAGGUGAAAUUCGUAGAUAUUAGGAAGAACACCAGUGGCGAAGGCGCCUUACUGGCUCGGUACUGACGCUGAGGUACGAAAGCGUGGGGAGCAAACA